GCCAUCUUGUACGGCAAUUAGAGGAGGCGGAGUUUUUGAACUUGGGCGAGAGAAGCUGGACAGCUUUUCAUGCUUCAAGUUUAUAAAGAGACUGGCCUAUUUACCCUAUGUAGAAUGCAGAAGGGCAUUGCUGAAAGAAGAUGGUUUAUAUCCCAUUGGAAGAUGAACAAGUGAACCGAAUGUGGGGAAACAGUAUUAGGUGCUGUUUCCGGAUAAGAUAUGGGGACAGAGUUGACAUCUGGAUUUGUUACAGGAUGCAAGAACUCUUGAAGCUCCCGUUAGGGAUACCCAACUCUUUUCAGUGGUUCCACAUCAACAGAGUAUAAACAAUUGGAAGAACUUCCUUCAAAUGAAGAGAGCAUGGUCUCCCUGCAACCCAAAACUAUUUGAUGGAACUGGACAACUGGAAAUAUGGAGACAAUGUUGCUCCUGUCUGAAACAGAAGUGUGGGUUGUUCAUUAUAUCAGGUCUAAAACAUGAGUGAAUUCAGAGAUUUUUAAAAAAUAUUGUAAAUAUAAGAGGAGCAAAAAGAGAA